rnacentral:lncRNA from 1 species
CGGUGAUGUACAGGUCAUCCUCACCCGCUUGGAUUCGCCUCCUCCUCGACGCGACACUCCAACAUGGACGUGGUGAGUUUCCUCUCCCCCUCCCCCCCUUCCCAUCCACCCCCAAAUCUGGAUGGCACUUGCAUCUGUACGUACAUCCAUAUGAAUAAGCCCCAUUGUUUGGCUCAGUUUGUAUGGUUCCAUUUUUAAAAACGUUGACUGAAACUAUCUAGAUGGCACCUGCAUCUGUAAAUGCAUAAGAAUAAGCAUCACACCUUGGUUCAAUUUCUGUGUCAAUUUGGUUUAACUUUGACUGAACAUAUAUAUAUAUAUGAGCAAAUAUAUUAUUUUGUUUCAGUUAAGAAUGCAUGGAUUCUGUUCCUGUUACCUCCACUUUUUUGCCUCAACAACAAGCAAAGCAAGGACCCAUUGAAAAUUGUAAUUGCACCUAGUCUUGUAGGUUAAUUAUCUGAAUAUCUGAAAUUAUAUGGUUGGUUCAUAGCUGCUGUUCAGGUCACUUAUUUAUAGGUUAACACUUGUUUCAUUCAUGCAUAUUUGUGCAGGAAGGAUUGUGUAGAACAGAGGAGAAGGGGCACAUGAUACCAUCCCAGUUUGUUGGCAAACAGGCUCAUUUUAUUUGCUUUGCACAGAUGUGAGUUAAGUAGGUCUAUACCAUAUAAAGUGAGCUAAC